CUUGCCCCUAGAAGCAUUGCAGGUGUGGUGCUGUGCCACAUGUAUGUCAGUAGACGGCAUAACAGAGAGAGGCCAUGUCUGCGCUCAGUGCUCCGACCUAUGAACAUCGGAAUGAUUAGUAGCCCAACUUC
ensembl:snoRNA LOC120098381 small nucleolar RNA SNORA17